CGUGCUCCCCGCCUGGCUCCCCGUGCUCCCCGCCAGACUCUCCGUGGUCCCCUCGGGGCCUCCGGGCCCGGCUCGGCCCGACCGGCGGCUCCCCCGCCUGCUGCUCGGUCCCUCCCAGGAGGCUGGCCGCCCGGCCCACCUUCCCAAUCCCCAUGGAAGAGAAAGAGUUGCUCUCUCUCGAUUAACCGGCGGCGGAGCCCAUAAAGGUGUCACAGAAGGCGAAGAAGCUGACCGAGUGACCGAGGCGACCGAGCCACCGGCCCCCGUGUCCCCAGGAAUCCAGCAGAAUUGCCUCCACACAACCUCAUCUUCCGAUCCAGCGUGCGGAGAGGCUUCGGCUGCGUUCUCGGGGUCUCCCCACAUCCGGGGGCCUCCUUGGGCCGGGGUGUCCCGCCCCCACGGAGGGACCUCCUAGUGGGCUGGCGACCGGACAAGUGGCAUCCGUCCUGAACCCAGCGCUCCCGGUUUGGCGUCCACGGUCUUCUCUGGAAAGGUCAGUCGUGGCUCCCCCGCCGGGAUCGCAGAUACCGCUUUGUCGGGUAGAUUGAAUCAAGUCUGGUUUUGGGGUUUUUUUUCCCCAAAAUAAAGGCAGAAUGCGCG